AUGUGUGACUAAUUAUGACUGACAAAAAUAUUAAUUUUAACAAACGUCAAUUUGUAAAUUGCCUGUUAUUUGUAGAAUAAAAGACAUAUAGUGUGUGUGUGUGUAUGCACCAUUUAUAGUAAAAACAUCAUCUAGAUUUUUAGAUACCCUAUAACAUUUCAUGUAAAGUUUUCUGCUGUCAAACCAAUGUGUAUAAAUAUUGUACUAUUUUUCGCUAUUAUUUGUAUUAUGGUAGCACCGGGAGCCCCAGUCAUGGACCAGAACCCCAUUGUACAAACACAGAACAGGAAGAUGGGUCCUGUCACCAAAAGCUUACGAUCUACGUAUAAAACAAGAGAUUACAGAUGGAUACAGUCAGAUAGGUGGAAGAGUACAGUUAAACAAUGAGAGAACAUUGUGUGGUUCUGCUCUGAAGAAAUGGCAUUGUGUGUUCAAUGUUUGCUGCUCAGUGACUUCCAGAUCCAAUGUGCACUGUUGAUAACUCUUGUCUUGAGACUGAUCAUUAUGAGAAAUCCUGAAACUCCAGCUGUUUGCAUCACUACGGUUGUCUCAAUUCUGCUUGGCUUGGAUUCUUCUAUUACAAGAUACUAUCCACAGCUACACUGUGUCUCUUCUGAAUUGAUUGUGGUUUUCUGCUGCAUAUUUUGAGUCUACACAAGUCAAAUGUACAUUGGAUUCAUCAAUCAUUGGCCUCAUGUAUCACUAAUGCUAACUACUACAUAAAGUGACUCAUCUCUUAAUUAUUCCAAAUACCAAGUGAGUAUUCUUGUGACAGGACAAUAUGAGUUUGUUUGGCAUAGUAGUGAUUAGUAUAAAGUGGACUUGCAAAAUGAUCAUGAAACUGUAUCCUGGCACAAACCUUAUUUACCCAUCUCUACUAUGAUGGUGAUAAUGGUAGAAAAAUCUAAUUGUAGUUCACUUGCUCAUUAAUAAAUUAUCCCCAAAGAACUAGUAUUUUCUUAAAAGUCAUAACUUGAAAAAUCUGACAAUAUUGAAAAUACAGUAAAAUGUUUAUUACAAUAUUCAAAUAGUUUGACAAACUGAUUAAUAAACAACCUCAUGAAGAGUCUCGAGGCAAAUGACCCACA